rnacentral:piRNA from 1 species
ACGCACAUGGAGGACUCUGAUGGG